rnacentral:rRNA from 1 species
UACGUAGGGUCCGAGCGUUGUCCGGAAUUAUUGGGCGUAAAGAGCUCGUAGGCGGUUUGUCGCGUCUGCCGUGAAAGUCCGGGGCUCAACUCCGGAUCUGCGGUGGUACGGGCAGACUAGAGUGAUGUAGGGGAGACUGGAAUUCCUGGUGUAGCGGUGAAAUGCGCAGAUAUCAGGAGGAACACCGAUGGCGAAGGCAGGUCUCUGGGCAUUAACUGACGCUGAGGAGCGAAAGCAUGGGGAGCGAACAGG